AUGAUGUUAGUGAUCACUGAGAGUGUGUGUGUGUGUGUGUGUUAAUGAUGUUAGUGAUCACUGAGAGUGUGUGUGUGUGUGUUAAUGAUGUUAGUGAUCACUGAGAGUGUGUGUGUGUGUGUGUGUGUUAAUGAUGUUAGUGAUCACUGAGAGUGUGUGUGUGUGUUAAUGAUGUUAGUGAUCACUGAGGGUGUGUGUGUUAAUGAUGUUAGUGAUCACUGAGAGUGUGUGUGUGUUAAUGAUGUUAGUGAUCACUGAGAGUGUGUGUGUGUGUGUGUGUUAAUGAUGUUAGUGAUCACUGAGAGUGUGUGUGUUAAUGAUGUUAGUGAUCACUGAGUGUGUGUGUGUGUUAAUGAUGUUAGUGAUCACUGAGAGUGUGUGUGUUAAUGAUGUUAGUGAUCACUGAGAGUGUGUGUGUGUGUGUUAAUGAUGUUAGUGAUCACUGAGAGUGUGUGUGUGUGUUAAUGAUGUUAGUGAUCACUGAGAGUGUGUGUGUGUGUGUGUUAAUGAUGUUAGUGAUCACUGAGAGUGUGUGUGUUAAUGAUGUUAGUGAUCACUGAGUGUGUGUGUGUGUUAAUGAUGUUAGUGAUCACUGAGAGUGUGUGUGUUAAUGAUGUUAGUGAUCACUGAGAGUGUGUGUGUGUGUGUGUGUUAAUGAUGUUAGUGAUCACUGAGUGUGUGUGUAUUAAUGAUGUUAGUGAUCACUGAGAGUGUGUGUGUGUUAAUUAUGUUAGUGAUCACUGAGUGUGUGUGUGUGUGUGUGUGUUAAUGAUGUUAGUGAUCACUGAGAGUGUGUGUGUGUGUGUUAAUGAUGUUAGUGAUCACUGAGAGUGUGUGUGUGUGUUAAUGAUGUUAGUGAUCACUGAGAGUGUGUGUGUGUGUGUUAAUGAUAUUAGUGAUCACUGAGAGUGUGUGUGUGUGUGUUAAUGAUGUUAGUGAUCACUGAGUGUGUGUGUUAAUGAUGUUAGUGAUCACUGAGAGUGUGUGUGUUAAUGAUGUUAGUGAUCACUGAGUGUGUGUGUUAAUGAUGUUAGUGAUCACUGAGAGUGUGUGUGUUAAUGAUGUUAGUGAUCACUGAGAGUGUGUGUGUGUGUUAAUGAUGUUAGUGAUCACUGAGAGUGUGUGUGUUAAUGAUGUUAGUGAUCACUGAGUGUGUGUGUGUGUGUGUGUUAAUGAUGUUAGUGAUCACUGAGAGUGUGUGUGUGUGUGUGUUAAUGAUGUUAGUGAUCACUGAGAGUGUGUGUGUGUGUUAAUGAUGUUAGUGAUCACUGAGAGUGUGUGUGUGUGUGUGUGUUAAUGAUGUUAGUGAUCACUGAGAGUGUGUGUGUGUGUGUGUGUUAAUGAUGUUAGUGAUCACUGAGAGUGUGUGUGUGUCUGUGUGUUAAUGAUGUUAGUGAUCACUGAGUGUGUGUGUGUUAAUGAUGUUAGUGAUCACUGAGAGAGUGUGUGUGUUAAUGAUGUUAGUGAUCACUGAGAGAGUGUGUGUGUUAAUGAUGUUAGUGAUCACUGAGAGUGUGUGUGUUAAUGAUGUUAGUGAUCACUGAGAGUGUGUGUGUUAAUGAUGUUAGUGAUCACUGAGAGUGUGUGUGUUAAUGAUGUUAGUGAUCACUGAGAGUGUGUGUGUUAAUGAUGUUAGUGAUCACUGAGAGUGUGUGUGUGUGUGUGUUAAUGAUGUUAGUGAUCACUGAGAGAGUGUGUGUGUGUGUUAAUGAUGUUAGUGAUCACUGAGAGUGUGUGUGUUAAUGAUGUUAGUGAUCACUGAGUGUGUGUGUGUGUUAAUGAUGUUAGUGAUCACUGAGAGUGUGUGUGUGUGUUAAUGAUGUUAGUGAUCACUGAGAGUGUGUGUGUGUUAAUGAUGUUAGUGAUCACUGAGAGUGUGUGUGUUAAUGAUGUUAGUGAUCACUGAGAGUGUGUGUGUGUGUGUGUGUGUGUGUGUGUUAAUGAUGUUAGUGAUCACUGAGUGUGUGUGUGUGUGUUAAUGAUGUUAGAGAUCACUGAGUGUGUGUGUGUGUGUGUGUGUGUUAAUGAUGUUAGUGAUCACUGAGAGUGUGUGUGUGUGUUAAUGAUGUUAGUGAUCACUGAGUGUGUGUGUGUUAAUGAUGUUAGUGAUCACUGAGAGUGUGUGUGUGUUUGUUAAUGAUGUUAGUGAUCACUGAGAGUGUGUGUGUGUGUGUUAAUGAUGUUAGUGAUCACUGAGUGUGUGUGUGUGUGUUAAUGAUGUUAGUGAUCACUGAGAGUGUGUGUGUGUGUGUUAAUUAUGUUAGUGAUCACUGAGAGUGUGUGUGUUAAUGAUGUUAGUGAUCACUGAGAGUGUGUGUGUGUGUUAAUGAUGUUAGUGAUCACUGAGAGUGUGUGUGUUAAUGAUGUUAGUGAUCACUGAGAGUGUGUGUGUUAAUGAUGUUAGUGAUCACUGAGAGUGUGUGUGUUAAUGAUGUUAGUGAUCACUGAGUGUGUGUGUUAAUGAUGUUAGUGAUCACUGAGAGUGUGUGUUAAUGAUGUUAGUGAUCACUGAGAGUGUGUGUGUGUGUUAAUGAUGUUAGUGAUCACUGAGAGUGUGUGUGUUAAUGAUGUUAGUGAUCACUGAGUGUGUGUGUGUGUGUGUUAAUGAUGUUAGUGAUCACUGAGAUUGUGUGUGUGUGUUAAUGAUGUUAGUGAUCACUGAGUGUGUGUGUGUUAAUGAUGUUAGUGAUCACUGAGAGUGUGUGUGUGUGUGUUAAUGAUGUUAGUGAUCACUGAGUGUGUGUGUGUGUGUUAAUGAUGUUAGUGAUCACUGAGAGUGUGUGUGUUAAUGAUGUUAGUGAUCACUGAGAGUGUGUGUGUGUGUUAAUGAUGUUAGUGAUCACUGAGUGUGUGUGUGUGUGUGUGUGUGUUAAUGAUGUUAGUGAUCACUGAGAGUGUGUGUGUGUGUUAAUGAUGUUAGUGAUCACUGAGGUGAUGUGUGUGUGUGUGUGUUAAUGAUGUUAGUGAUCACUGAGAGUGUGUGUGUGUGUUAAUGAUGUUAGUGAUCACUGAGUGUGUGUGUGUUAAUGAUGUUAGUGAUCACUGAGAGUGUGUGUGUGUUUGUUAAUGAUGUUAGUGAUCACUGAGUGUGUGUGUGUGUGUGUGUUAAUGAUGUUAGUGAUCACUGAGUGUGUGUGUGUGUGUUAAUGAUGUUAGUGAUCACUGAGAGUGUGUGUGUGUGUGUGUUAAUGAUGUUAGUGAUCACUGAGAGUGUGUGUGUUAAUGAUGUUAGUGAUCACUGAGUGUGUGUGUGUGUUAAUGAUGUUAGUGAUCACUGAGAGUGUGUGUGUGUUAAUUAUGUUAGUGAUCACUGAGAGUGUGUGUGUUAAUGAUGUUAGUGAUCACUGAGAGUGUGUGUGUUAAUGAUGUUAGUGAUCACUGAGAGUGUGUGUGUUAAUGAUGUUAGUGAUCACUGAGAGUGUGUGUGUGUGUGUUAAUGAUGUUAGUGAUCACUGAGAGAGUGUGUGUGUGUGUUAAUGAUGUUAGUGAUCACUGAGAGUGUGUGUGUUAAUGAUGUUAGUGAUCACUGAGUGUGUGUGUGUGUUAAUGAUGUUAGUGAUCACUGAGAGUGUGUGUGUGUGUGUUAAUGAUGUUAGUGAUCACUGAGAGUGUGUGUGUGUUAAUGAUGUUAGUGAUCACUGAGAGUGUGUGUGUGUGUGUGUGUGUGUGUGUGUUAAUGAUGUUAGUGAUCACUGAGUGUGUGUGUGUGUGUUAAUGAUGUUAGUGAUCACUGAGUGUGUGUGUGUGUGUGUGUGUGUUAAUGAUGUUAGUGAUCACUGAGAGUGUGUGUGUGUGUUAAUGAUGUUAGUGAUCACUGAGUGUGUGUGUGUUAAUGAUGUUAGUGAUCACUGAGAGUGUGUGUGUGUUUGUUAAUGAUGUUAGUGAUCACUGAGAGUGUGUGUGUGUGUGUUAAUGAUGUUAGUGAUCACUGAGUGUGUGUGUGUGUUAAUGAUGUUAGUGAUCACUGAGAGUGUGUGUGUGUGUGUUAAUUAUGUUAGUGAUCACUGAGAGUGUGUGUGUUAAUGAUGUUAGUGAUCACUGAGAGUGUGUGUGUUAAUGAUGUUAGUGAUCACUGAGAGUGUGUGUGUGUGUGUUAAUGAUGUUAGUGAUCACUGAGAGUGUGUGUGUUAAUGAUGUUAGUGAUCACUGAGAGUGUGUGUGUUAAUGAUGUUAGUGAUCACUGAGAGUGUGUGUGUUAAUGAUGUUAGUGAUCACUGAGAGUGUGUGUGUUAAUGAUGUUAGUGAUCACUGAGUGUGUGUGUUAAUGAUGUUAGUGAUCACUGAGAGUGUGUGUGUGUGUUAAUGAUGUUAGUGAUCACUGAGAGUGUGUGUGUGUUAAUGAUGUUAGUGAUCACUGAGAGUGUGUGUGUGUGUUAAUGAUGUUAGUGAUCACUGAGAGUGUGUGUGUGUGUGUGUUAAUGAUGUUAGUGAUCACUGAGAGUGUGUGUGUGUGUUAAAUGAUGUUAGUGAUCACUGAGAGUGUGUGUGUGUUAAUGAUGUUAGUGAUCACUGAGAGUGUGUGUGUUAAUGAUGUUAGUGAUCACUGAGAGUGUGUGUGUGUGUGUGUUAAUGAUGUUAGUGAUCACUGAGAGUGUGUGUGUGUUAAUGAUGUUAGUGAUCACUGAGAGUGUGUGUGUUAAUGAUGUUAGUGAUCACUGAGUGUGUGUGUGUGUGUGUGUUAAUGAUGUUAGUAAUCACUGAGUGUGUGUGUGUUAAUGAUGUUAGUGAUCACUGAGUGUGUGUGUGUUAAUGAUGUUAGUGAUCACUGAGAGUGUGUGUGUGUGUGUUAAUGAUGUUAGUGAUCACUGAGUGUGUGUGUGUGUUAAUGAUGUUAGUGAUCACUGAGAGUGUGUGUGUGUUUGUUAAUGAUGUUAGUGAUCACUGAGUGUGUGUGUUUGUGUUAAUGACGUUAGUGAUCACUGAGGGUGUGUGUGUGUGUUAAUGAUGUUAGUGAUCACUGAGAGUGUGUGUGUGUUAAUGAUGUUAGUGAUCACUGAGAGAGUGUGUGUGUGUGUUAAUGAUGUUAGUGAUCACUGAGAGUGUGUGUGUGUGUGUUAAUGAUGUUAGUGAUCACUGAGAGUGUGUGUGUGUGUUAAUGAUGUUAGUGAUCACUGAGAGUGUGUGUGUGUGUGUUAAUGAUGUUAGUGAUCACUGAGAGUGUGUGUGUGUUAAUGAUGUUAGUGAUCACUGAGAGUGUGUGUGUGUUAAUGAUGUUAGUGAUCACUGAGUGUGUGUGUGUGUGUUAAUGAUGUUAGUGAUCACUGAGUGUGUGUGUGUGUGUGUUAAUGAUGUUAGUGAUCACUGAGAGUGUGUGUGUGUGUUAAUGAUGUUAGUGAUCACUAAGUGUGUGUGUGUUAAUGAUGUUAGUGAUCACUGAGAGUGUGUGUGUGUUUGUUAAUGAUGUUAGUGAUCACUGAGUGUGUGUGUGUUUGUUAAUGAUGUUAGUGAUCACUGAGUGUGUGUGUGUUAAUGAUGUUAGUGAUCACUGAGAGUGUGUGUGUGUGUGUGUUAAUGAUGUUAGUGAUCACUGAGUGUGUGUGUGUGUGUUAAUGAUGUUAGUGAUCACUGAGAGUGUGUGUGUGUGUGUUAAUUAUGUUAGUGAUCACUGAGAGUGUGUGUGUUAAUGAUGUUAGUGAUCACUGAGAGUGUGUGUGUUAAUGAUGUUAGUGAUCACUGAGAGUGUGUGUGUGUUAAUGAUGUUAGUGAUCACUGAGAGUGUGUGUGUGUGUGUUAAUGAUGUUAGUGAUCACUGAGUGUGUGUGUGUGUGUGUUAAUGAUGUUAGUGAUCACUGAGUGUGUGUGUGUGUGUGUUAAUGAUGUUAGUGAUCACUGAGAGUGUGUGUGUGUGUUAAUGAUGUUAGUGAUCACUGAGUGUGUGUGUGUUAAUGAUGUUAGUGAUCACUGAGAGUGUGUGUGUGUUUGUUAAUGAUGUUAGUGAUCACUGAGUGUGUGUGUGUUUGUUAAUGAUGUUAGUGAUCACUGAGUGUGUGUGUGUGUGUGUGUGUGUGUUAAUGAUGUUAGUGAUCACUGAGAGUGUGUGUGUGUGUGUUAAUGAUGUUAGUGAUCACUGAGUGUGUGUGUGUGUUAAUGAUGUUAGUGAUCACUGAGAGUGUGUGUGUGUGUGUUAAUGAUGUUAGUGAUCACUGAGAGUGUGUGUGUUAAUGAUGUUAGUGAUCACUGAGAGUGUGUGUGUUAAUGAUGUUAGUGAUCACUGAGUGU